rnacentral:misc_RNA from 1 species
GGUUAGCCCCCAGUCAUCGCACAGUUGCGCCACGCGAACGGCGCCGGUGAGGGUCCAGAAAUGCGGGUCGGCAAGAGGAAUGUCUACCGCGUUGAGCAUCACCGCGUGUCCCAUUUCACGCCAGUUGGUGGCAAUCAUAUUGGUCGCCACCGGCAGACCGGUCGCACGGCGGAACUCCGCCAUGACUUCACGACCAGAGAAUCCUUGCUCCGCGCCGCACGGAUCUUCCGCGUAGGUCAGUACAUCAUUCAGCCCUUUGCACAACGCAAUGGCUUCAUCCAGUAGCCAGGCGCCGUUCGGAUCCACGGUAAUACGCGCGUCCGGGAAGCGUUUUUUUAGCGCGCGAACGGUAUCAAUCUCUUGUUCGCCCGGCAGCACGCCGCCCUUGAGUUUAAAAUCUUUAAAGCCGUAGCGAUCCUGAGACG